GUGCAUAUGGGUACUUUGCUUGGUGUAACUCUCUAGUCAGUAAUCGUGAGAGGCAAGUUAUCAUAGGGCUACUAUGAAAGCUUAGAAAAAUGGAGACAGAACAUACAAUCGAAAGAAGAAGAGACAAUGCUUCAAACUAUGUUGUUUUCUUGUUGGGGCUUGUAUUGAUUUCUUUGUGUAUUUUGUGAUCUGUCUUCCUAUCUACUUAGUUUGAGCACAACAUUAUAGGGGAUUGUGAUGGCAACAAGCACCAAUAUUGGUCCAUGACUUAUGCCUUUUUUAUGUUUUUUUUUGAUAAAGUACCUUUUUUGUGUAGUUAAACCUAGUAAAACCUAGUUAAACAGUGGUUCAUCAAAAAGCCCCACUCAUGAAAAUACUGACCUCAAUAGAAAGGUCAAUAGUGGAGAUAAGAUCCUCAAAAUCCAAUCUUCGGAUUGCUAGAGCUUCAAGAGACACAAAUAGAGAUAAGAUCUCCUUAAAAUCCAAUCUCCAGAUUGGUAAAGCCUCGAAAGG
rnacentral:lncRNA from 1 species